UACGGCUUUCCAGGUGGCACAGUGGUAAAGAACUUGCUUGCAACGCAAGAGACCCAGGCUCGAUCCCUGGGUUGGGAAGAUCCUCUGGAGAAGGAAAUGGCAACUCACUCCAGGAUGCUGGCUUGAAAAAUCCCAUGGACAGAGGAAACUGGCGGGCUACAGUCCAUGGGGUCACAAACAGUCAGACAUGACUGAGUGCACGUGCGAAGCACACUCACACACACAUUUUUAUAUUUACAGGGGUGAGAAGUGCACGGUUGUAAGCACUGCACCCACGGCCAGAAGAAUCCCAUGGGCAUGACCUCCCAGGUGUCCACACUGGCAUUUUUGGAUCCUUGGCCCCACUCUUGACCCUGGCUUCUGACUCCUUUCAGAACAAAGGAGAUAGUACUGUCUGCAGACUUCAAGGGAAGGAAGAGAGAGGGCGUUUGUUUUUUAGCUACGUCAUCACUAUAUAUUUCACUCUGUGGAUCUGGAGUGACGAACCAUCAUGUGACAUCAGCUGCCACUGAAGAGUCAGUGACUCAGGGAGGACAGAAACUCCUAUUCAUCCUCCAGGACGAACGGGAGGUACCAUGGAACAAACACAUGUUGAACGUACAGCAAAGACGCCCUGCCAACCCCCUGUACAGUAGGAAAAAGAUGCGUACUGUAUUACUCCCAUUUGUGGUGUCUUUGAAUAAAGGUAUGUAAUAUGUUUCAGUGUUUUGUAUACCCACCUUUUAAAAAGAAGAGGGGAAGGGUGGAUUAACUAACUUUAUUGUGGUAAACAUUUCACAAUAUAUAUGUGCAUCAAAUCAUAAAAUUGUACACCCAAAGCUUACACCACAUUAUGUGUGUAAUGAGCUUAUUUUCUGUUUUUGUCUCCACAUAUAAGAGAAAUCAUGUGGGGAAUUCCCUGGUGUUCCAGUGGCUGGCACUGAGCCCAUUCACUGCUGAAACCUGGAUCUGAUCCCUGGUCAGAGGACUAAGACUAUGCAAGCUGUGUGGCAUGGCCAAAAAAAAAAAAGAGAGAGAGCAAUUUUGUAUUUGUCUUUUUCUGUCU
rnacentral:tRNA from 1 species